rnacentral:tmRNA from 1 species
GCCCUUUCAUUUUCCGUAACCGCUCCCUAUAUUCGCUUCGUCGGCUUGACCGACUAUGGCGAUAAACAGGCGAUGAAAUAAGCCGUUCGGACCCGGGGGCGGUACCCGGCGCCUCCACCAAAAACCGCUCUUCCAAAGGGAGCGGCUUUUGCUGGGGGCGAAAUAGGAUCGACGAAGGUGUAAAGAUCGUACUUUUGCCCGGCAUUGUACCACCGUCAUCGGGCUAAACUUAUAGUUGCCAACGACAAC